UCGUCCAGCCAGUGUGGUCGGCAGUGUGAGCUGAGAGGUUGGACGAGUGAUAUGUGAUGCGCUGUGCUCUGGGCUGGUAACUCUCGUGCUGAAAAUAUACACAAACUCUUAGCCAAACCAAGAUGGAUGUGUGCACGCGCGUGUUUUCAUAGGUGUGGGCGUGAUGUGAGUGGCGGCGGGCGCGGCGGCCCCUCCCGACGGCGGAGAGCAAGCUCGCGGGCCCCCUGGUGCCGCGGGCGUGGCCGACCCCGUGGGGCGACGACGGUGCCCCAGCCCACCCCCGCCGCGCCCACCUCGACUCCGCAGUGAAGGAAAAGCGGGGAGAUAGAUAGAGGCAGGGAGAGGGAGAGGGAGAGAGAGGGGAGGAGAGUGAGUGAGGGAAGGAAAAGCCGAGCGACACAGGGAGAGGGAGAGAGCGAGGGAGAGCAGCAGGCGGGAGUGCAGCAGUGAGCGGUGAGAGGGAGCAGUGGUGACCAUGUGGGCGUGAGGCUCCUGCCGCGGCUGAGGCGGUGACUGUGUGUGUGUGUGUCGCGGGCGGCGCCCCUGCCAGCCCCGCCCCUGCCAGCCCCGCCCCGCUCCGCCCCGCCUCACACGCCCCAGGCCGGGUGAUGGACUACCACCGCUACGGGGGGCUGGGGGUGGGCUCGGUGCCCCCCUGCUCGCCGGCGGGCCCCCCACGCUACCUGGGUCAUCCCUCGCCGAGCCCACGGCCCCGCAGCCCCCGCCGCCACCCCCGCCCAUCCCUGGCACCCCCUCCACGCUGCUGCCGCCGCCCCCCACCCGUCACAUCACCCAUCCCUCAUGUUCCAUUACGGUGAGUUGGCAGCGCUGGUGUGGCGGCCAGGUGAAGUACUGAGUGUCCCUACCUGUUGUGUGCUCGAGAGAGAGAGAGAGAGAGAGAGAGAGAGAGAGAGAGAGAGAGAGAGAGAGAGAGAGAGAGAGAGAGAGAGAGCGUACAUUCUUCGUUUUAUGAUUUAUUUAUCUACUUGUUCAUUUAUUUAUUAUUAUUAUUAUUUUUAUUAUUAUUAUUAUUAUUAUUAUUAUUAUUAUUAUUAUUAUUAUUGUUAUUAUUAUUAUUAUUAUUAUUAUUACAAGAGCAGUAGUGCUGGUGACGGUGGUGUAGUAGUAGUAGUAGUAGUAGUAGUAGUAGUAGUAGUAGUUGUUGUUGUUGUUGUUGUUGUUGUUGUUGUUGUUGUUGUUGUUGUUACUACUACUACUACUACUACUACUACUACUACUACUACUACUACUACUACUACUACUACUACUACUACUACUGUCAUCAUCAUCAUCAUUAUCAUCAUCAUCAUCAUCAUCAUCAACACCCAUAUUAUUAUUAUUAUUAUUAUUAUUAUUAUUAUUAUUAUUAUUAUUAUUAUUAUUAACGUUGUUAUUAUUACUAUUGUCAUUAUUACCGUCCCUAAUUAGCUCACCUUUCUCAAUUAAAAUUAAUGAAGAGCGCGGCACAUCAACACUCAGCUUAUUGAAAUGAAAAGAAGAGAAACAAAGACAAGCGAAGAGUAAAAGCGAGAGCUGCAGGCGAGAUUAUGAAUAAAUGAAAGAACAAUGAAAAAAUUACGAACCAUUUUAAUUAAGCAAGUGUGUAAAUAAUUAAAUGAGAAGGAGAGUGAGUGGGAAAGAUAAGAAAAAAAAAACUCCAUUACAAGAAAAUAAUUGAAAAAAAAAAUAGUUUGUGCAGAUAAUGAAAUAUUGUCAGGAGUUGCAAAUAAAUUGUUGACUGAUAAAAAAAAAUGUUUAUAUUAUGUAUUGUAUUGCGUAAAGGAAAAGAACGAAUAAAUAAAAAAAGAGAGUAGAAAUUUUUACAUAUCAAACAAAUACAUAAAUAACCUUUCCUAUUCAGAGUUGACGUGAAAUGUUAUUGAAGAAAAACAAAAAAGAGGAAAAAAUAAAAACUGAAUUAGGAAAAACUGGCGUAUGAGCAACACGGAAAAGAAGGAGAGAAAAAUAAAGAGGAAAAGAGGAACAUACAAAAUAGACCAGUCGAUAAAAAUUGUAAGGAAAUGAAGAAAAAUGUAUGUAUCCUGAAAUAGCUUGAUGAAACAAAACUUUAAUUGGAAAAUGAAAAUGCACAACAUUGGAGUAAAGAAAGAAGCAAAUAUACAAAACAUGUUUAAAUGAAAAAAAAAUAAAUAAAUAAAUCACGAAACAGGUAAGAAAAGUAGAAGGAAAUAAUAAAAAAAGGGUAUAUGGAAAAUGCUGAGAUAAUGGAAUGUAGAAAUAAACUGGAAUAAAUGAACGAAGAUAUUAAUGAAAAAGAUAAAAAAAAGAAAGAAGGAAGUAAAAGAAUAACUAGAAAAUAAACAACUGUAUAAUAAACAAACUAUUUUUAUAAAGAUAGAAAGGAUAAAUGAAUAGAUAAAAAAAAACUAUAAAUAAAUAAACGAGUAAAUGGAGAUAAAAAUAAAAAUACGUGGAAAACAAGCUAUAAUAACAAACUAAUAUAAAUUGAAAGAAAGAAACAAACAAACAAAUAAACAAACAGUAAAAAAAAUAAAUACCAAUAAAGACGGUGAAUGAAGCAAACACUGGAGGAGAGGGAAGAGGAAACUGGAAGAAACGAAACAAAGGGAAUAAGUUAACGAAUAAACAAAACUAAGAGAGAAAAAAAAACGAAAAAUAAAAAAAAGAAACAGGAAACAGGAAAAAGAAGUAAAAAAUAAGGAGAGAAAUAUAAAAGAAGAGAAGAAUGACAGGAGAUAACAAACGAUAAAACAAAAAAAAAAAAUAAAUGGAAAUGUGACUCUAUGAAUAAACGAACGAAAGAAUAAUAGAGACGAGAAAGAAGAAAGAAAAAAAGAAAAACGAAGAAGAAAAAACGAAAAACAAAACAAAAUAAGGUCAGAAAUAAAUAAACGAAUGAACAGAGGAAGGAAGGAAGAAAGAGUAGAAGAAAAAAAAUGUAAAUAAAACAGAGAAAUAGAGAAAUACAUCAGAUGGAGAAAGAUAUGAAUAGAGAUAAAGAGAGGAAGAAAAAAACAACAACAUACAAUAAAGAUGAGCAGACGAGAAGAGAAAUGAAUUAGUAGGGAAAGAGGAAAAGGAAGAGAGAAAGAAAAAAAUACACAAAAAGCGAUAAAGAUGAGUAGAUGAGUAAACAAGUGAAUAAAUAAGGAAAAAGAGAAAGAGAAAUAAAAGAAGAGACAAACAAAGACGCCAAACAUAAAAUAAACAAUAAAGAGAGAGUUAAUAUAGACAUGGAAGAAGAAAAAGAAAGAUAAUAAGAAAGAGGGGCAAAGAAGAUAAAACAAAGAGAAAACGAGAAAGACACCAAACAAAAUAAAAAAAGAAUAAUAAAAUAGCCAAUAAACUGGGGAAAGAGAGAAAGAGAAAGACAGAAACACAAAAACUGAGAUAGAAAGGAAGAAAGAUAGAAGGGAAAGAAAGAUAAAAAAAAAGAGAAUGAAGGAAAGAAAGAAGGAAAAUACCAAAGAAAGGCAAAGAAUAAAGAUGAGCAGAUUGGUAAACAGGAAAAUAAAUAAUCACAAAGAGAGAAAGAGGGAAAGAAAGAUAAAAAGAGAUAAAAAGAAAGAAAAAAACAAGCUUAAGAUGAAUAAACAAGUAAAUGGAAACAGAAAGAGAGGAAGGAAGAAAGAUAGAAAGAGUGAAAGAGAGAAAAAAAGAGAAAAUGGUGAAUAGAAGAAAGGAGGGAAAAAAACAGCAAACAAAGAGACAAACAGUAAACAAGUAGAAUAAACAGAAAUAGAGAAUAAAAAAAAUGGGAAAGAGGGAAAGAUAAAAGGAGAGAAGGAAGGAAAGAAAGAAAGACAGGAAACAAAACAAAAACAAUAAAGAUAGGUGACAAGUAAAACAGAAAAUAGAUAAACAUAAAGAGAAAAAGACGGAAAGAAAUAUAAAAGGAGAGAAAGAGAGAAUAAAGGAAGGAAGGAAGGCAGAGACGGAGACAAUAAAGAUGAACAGAUGAAUAAAUAAAAUAAAUAAAUGGAAAUAAAGAGAGAAAGGGAAAGAAAGAUGAAAGGAGAGAGAGGGAAGGAAUGAUAAAAGAAGAGAAAAGGGAAAGAAAGAUAAAGGGAGAGAAAGAGGGAAGGAAUGAUAAAAAGGGGGAGAAAGAGGAAAAGGAAGAAAAAAGGAGAGAAAGAGAGAAGGAAAGAUAAAAGGAGAGAAAGAGGGAAGGAAUGAUAAAAAGAGAGAAAGGGGGAAGGAAUGAUAAAAGAAGAAAAGAGGGGAAGGAAAGAUAAAAGAAGACAAAGGAAAAGAAAGACAAAAAGAGAGAAAAAAGAGGAGGGAAAAUGAAAGAAGAGAAUCAGGAAAGGAAAGAGGGAAAGAAAUAUAAGAGAAGAGAAAGUGAUAAAGAAGGAAAGAUGGAAGAAAGAGAAAGAGAGAAAAAAGUAGGCAGUGACAGAAAAAGAUGAACAGCUAAAUAAAUAGAAAAUAAAGGGAAACAAAGAAAGAAAGAGGAAAGGAAAGAUAAAAAGGAGAGAAAGGGAAUCAAUGAAGGAGAGGAAGGCGGCAGCAAACACACACACACACACACACACACACACACACACACACACACACACACACACACACACACACACACACACACACACACUCUCUCUCUCUCUCUCUCUCUCUCUCUCUCUCUCUCUCUCUCUCUCUCUCUCUCUCUCUCUCUCUCUCUUAUUUCAUCGCUCGUGAAUAAAUCAAGUGAACGGAGAUUAAGUUUUCCGUUUUUUUUUUUUUAUGCAACGAAUAAAAAAAAAGGAAAAAAAAGAAAAAAUGUUGAAAAAAAAGCAAAAGGAAAAUGUUGUGAUAUGAAAAAAAAAACAUGAAGGGAGACUUUUAUUUAUUAAUUUAAUUUGUGUUGUACUUUUUAUUUAUUUAUUUUUUUUCGUUUUAUUUUAAUUUUUCAUAUUUCUAUUUAUUUAUUUUUUUCUAGUCCAUGCUGUUCCGUAAUUCGUGUUGUUUGCCUCUCUCUCUCUCUCUCUCUCUCUCUCUCUCUCUCUCUCUCUCUCUCUCUCUCUCUCUCUCUCUCUCUCUCUCUCUCUC